AUUGAACGCUGGCGGCAGGCCUAACACAUGCAAGUCGAACGAGUGGCGGAAGGGUGAGUAAGGUCUGGGAAACUGCACGAUGGAGGGGGAUAACUACUGGAAACGGUAGCUAAUACCGCAUACCAUCGGAUGUGCCCAGCUGGGCUUAGCUUGUAGGUGAGGUAACGGCUCACCUAGGCGACGAUCCCUAGCUGGUCUGAGAGGAUGACCAGGCACACUGGAACUGAGCCACGGUCCAGACGCCUACGGGAGGCAGCAUUGGGGUAGAGGGAAGAAUGUGCGCAAGCCUGAUGCAGCCAUGACGCGGGUAUGAAGAAGGCCUUCUGGUUGUAAAGUACUUUCAGUGGGGAGGCGUUAACCGCAGCAGAAGCACCGGCUAACGCCGUGCCAGCCGCCGCGGUAAUUC
rnacentral:rRNA from 1 species